AGUGAACGCUGGCGGUAGGCCUAACACAUGCAAGUCGAACGGCAGCACAGUAAGAGCUUGCUCUUACGGGUGGCGAGUGGCGGACGGGUGAGGAAUACAUCGGAAUCUACUUUUUCGUGGGGGAUAACGUAGGGAAACUUACGCUAAUACCGCAUACGACCUACGGGUGAAAGCAGGGGAUCUUCGGACCUUGCGCGAUUGAAUGAGCCGAUGUCGGAUUAGCUAGUUGGCAGGGUAAAGGCCCACCAAGGCGACGAUCCGUAGCUGGUCUGAGAGGAUGAUCAGCCACGCUGGAACUGAGACACGGUCCAGACUCCUACGGGAGGCAGCAGUGGGGAAUAUUGGACAAUGGGCGCAAGCCUGAUCCAGCCAUACCGCGUGGGUGAAGAAGGCCUUCGGGUUGUAAAGCCCUUUUGUUGGGAAAGAAAAGCAGCAGGUUAAUACCCCGCUGUUCUGACGGUACCCAAAGAAUAAGCACCGGCUAACUUCGUG
rnacentral:rRNA from 1 species